AGAGUUUGAUCCUGGCUCAGAUUGAACGCUGAUGCCUUACACAUGCAAGUCGAACGGCAGCGCGGACUUCGGUCUGGCGGCGAGUGGCGAACGGGUGAGUAAUGUAUCGGAACGUACCUUUCAGUGGGGGAUAACGUAGCGAAAGUUACGCUAAUACCGCAUAUUCUGUGAGCAGGAAAGCAGGGGAUCGCAAGACCUUGCGCUGAUUGAGCGGCCGAUAUCAGAUUAGCUAGUUGGUGAGGUAAAGGCUCACCAAGGCGACGAUCUGUAGCGGGUCUGAGAGGAUGAUCCGCCACACUGGAACUGAGACACGGUCCAGACUCCUACGGGAGGCAGCAGUGGGGAAUUUUGGACAAUGGGGGCAACCCUGAUCCAGCCAUGCCGCGUGAGUGAAGAAGGCCUUCGGGUUGUAAAGCUCUUUCGGCCGGGAAGAAAUCGCACGGGCUAAUACCCUGUGCGGAUGACGGUACCGGCAUAAGAAGCACCGGCUAACUACGUGCCAGCAGCCGCGGUAAUACGUAGGGUGCGAGCGUUAAUCGGAAUUACUGGGCGUAAAGCGUGCGCAGGCGGUUUUGUAAGACAGGCGUGAAAUCCCCGGGCUCAACCUGGGAACUGCGCUUGUGACUGCAAGGCUAGAGUAUGGCAGAGGGGGGUGGAAUUCCACGUGUAGCAGUGAAAUGCGUAGAGAUGUGGAGGAACACCAAUGGCGAAAGCAGCCCCCUGGGCCAAUACUGACGCUCAUGCACGAAAGCGUGGGUAGCAAACAGGAUUAGAUACCCUGGUAGUCCACGCCCUAAACGAUGUCAACUAGGUGUUGGGUGGGUAAAACCAUUUAGUACCGUAGCUAACGCGUGAAGUUGACCGCCUGGGGAGUACGGCCGCAAGGUAAAACUCAAAGGAAUUGACGGGACCCGCACAGCGUGAUGAUGUGAUAUCGAUGCACGCGAAAA
rnacentral:rRNA from 1 species